GUGUUUGAAAAAAGCAGUACUACUCGUCCUCCAGUAACUCCCAGCACAUCUGAUGAUGAUGACGCUGCGGAAGCAGGUCCAUCAAAAGAAGUCUGGAGCAGCAGAAGUGGGACUUCUGUAAGACAUCACCACAAAAAAACCUGUGGCAGCAAAGAAAGCAAGGUCUGAUGUCCAGGGCCAACCACAGCAGGCUACCCCGCCACGAAGAUUAUCGACAGUAUGUUCGGUCCCCCCACUCCAAAUUUUGGAUACACCUCCAAGACGUCAUCCACACUCCCCUCAUCUUAAUUCUUCUAGUCCUGGUAACAGCAUCCCUCCGCAACAACAGCAACACAGUGACAUGGAGGAGACAAUUAUCUUAGAAAUGCAGCCAUUAAGCCAAGGAAUCAGCCCCCCAGCACCUGUGAGUACACCACCACAGCAAAGCACACCACCACCACAACACAGCCCAACAACACCAGUAACACAAGGCCCUGAUCAGGUGUUUUGGACAAUUUGGGCUAGACAGCAGGCCACUA